AUACGAAAGGUGCAAGCGUUGUUCGGAUUUACUGGGCGUAAAGAGAGUGUAGGUGGUUUAUUAAGUCGGAUGUGAAAUCCCGGGGCUCAACCUCGGAACUGCAUUCGAUACUGAUAGGCUAGAGUUUGGGAGGGGUAAGCGGAAUUCCGUGUGUAGCAGUGAAAUGCGUAGAUAUACGGAGGAACACCUGAGGCGAAGGCGGCUUACUGGACCGAUACUGACACUGAGACUCGAAAGCGUGGGUAGCAAACAGGAUUAGAAACCCGAGUAGUCC
rnacentral:rRNA from 1 species